UGCAUAAUUUGAAAUACAGUU
rnacentral:piRNA from 1 species